rnacentral:rRNA from 1 species
UACGUAGGGGCUAGCGUUGUCCGGAAUCAUUGGGCGUAAAGCGCGUGUAGGCGGUCCGGUAAGUCUGCUGUGAAAGUCGGGGGCUCAACCCUCGGAAGCCGGUGGAUACUGCUGGGCUAGAGUGCGGAAGAAGGCGAGUGGAAUUCUGGUGUAGCGGUGAAAUGCGCAGAUAUCAGGAGGAACACCAUUGCGAAAGGCAGCUCCGCUUGGG